AACCUUAUGGACCUGCGGGCGUAUACCUGCGGAGGGAUCAUUAACGAGUGUAACCUACCCUUUUAAAAAAAGGGUGGUACCUCCCGUCCUUUGCGGGCCCCCUUCUUUUAUUGGGGGGGCUUUUAAGACUUUCUGCUUCGGCGGGGUUAUUCCCGCCGGAACACCCUCAAAAAACUCUUGAUCAAAAAACAGUUCAGUCCGAGAAUUUUUGAAAAUUAAAACAAAACUUUUAACAACGGA
rnacentral:misc_RNA from 1 species